UCAGAGGAAGGGUUUCUUCUAUGAAACCCUUGCCGCCUCCUCCCUUCUCUCUCCUCUAUGACGUCACACACGCGGAAUUAGCAAAGAUAAGGGCCCGCAUGGUUUCCACUAACUGUGGUAUGGCCAAGAAUGGUAAGAGCAUUAAUUGUUCUGCCAUUUCUCAACCAAAACCACCGUAGACCGAUCCAAACAAGAGUAUUGGGGUUUGAGGAAGCAAGGAUUUGGUCCAAGUUCAAUCUCGACAUUGGCUGCACUCACAAAAGACUUCUUUGAUCUUGAGGCUCAGCGGAAGGGGAAAGCGAAGGAGUGAUUGUUGGUGUUUGCUGUUCGACCAAUCAGGUAGGUUAUGGCUUACCCUUUGUGAGACUUCGUG